AACGAACGCUGGCGGCAUGCCUAACACAUGCAAGUCGAACGAGAUCUUCGGGUCUAGUGGCGCACGGGUGCGUAACGCGUGGGAAUCUGCCCUUUGGUUCGGAAUAACAGUUGGAAACGACUGCUAAUACCGGAUGAUGACGAAAGUCCAAAGAUUUAUCGCCAGAGGAUGAGCCCGCGUAGGAUUAGCUAGUUGGUGUGGUAAAGGCGCACCAAGGCGACGAUCCUUAGCUGGUCUGAGAGGAUGAUCAGCCACACUAGGACUGAGACACGGCCCAGACUCCUACGGGAGGCAGCAGUGGGGAAUAUUGGACAAUGGGCGAAAGCCUGAUCCAGCAAUGCCGCGUGAGUGAUGAAGGCCCUAGGGUUGUAAAGCUCUUUUACUCGGGAUGAUAAUGACAGUACCGGGAGAAUAAGCCCCGGCUAACUCCGUGCCAGCCGCCGCGGUAA
rnacentral:rRNA from 1 species